GAUGAAGAACGUAGCGAAAUGCGAUAAGUAAUGUGAAUUGCAGAAUUCAGUGAAUCAUCGAAUCUUUGAACGCACAUUGCGCCCGCCAGUAUUCUGGCGGGCAUGCCUGUGCGAGCGUCAUUUCAACCAUCAAGCCCCAGGCUUGUGUUGGGGACCUGCGGCUGCCGCAGGCCCUGAAAACCAGUGGCGGGCUCGCUGUCACACCGGGCGUAGUAGAUUUUAUCUCGCUCAGGGCGUGCUGCGGGUCCCGGCCGUUAAAAGCCUUUUUUUACCCAAGGUUGACCUCGGAUCAGGUAGGAAGACCCGCUGAACUUAAGCAUAUCAAUAAGCGGAGGA
rnacentral:misc_RNA from 1 species